UGAAUGUAAAAGUGACACUCAAAGGGCCAUUAAGAUAGCAGCUCGGCUGAAUUCCUUUCCAGCCUCAUGUGGCAGGUGCUUUAGUUUAAGAUCACCUUUCCUGAGAGAAGGAAGGAAGGGCUGGUACACGUGACUCGAGGUGCACAGCUUACUCCUUAAUGAGGUGCAGGCAGCUGCUUAAGGAAGCAGUAGCUUUGCCAGGAGAGGUAAUGAGAUUAAUGAGAAGUCAGAAGAGCGCCAAUAAAUGUGACAAACUUAUUUCUCCUCUUCUAGCUCUGAAAGCCCAGUGGAGUGGACAACACCAGCCCUUGGCUUGUGGUUCCCUAGGUCAGCUGUACAGCUCUUUGGUAUCACCAAAGGAUCAAUGUGACUUGCAACAUAGAUCUCACAUCAGAAAUAAAAACUGAAGCUGUCUUGCUUUUCCUUAAAGAAGAAAAGUUUAGUCUUUUGAAAUAUUGCCAACAAUGACUACUUUCAGAACCUCUCACAUAGUUUGGAUGCCAAAGUCACGCUGAAAGUCAGUGAAGUUGAAGAUUUUAACUUGCACUGUAAAUGUGAGUUAAAGGCUUUAAGGGUGAAGCCUCUGUCCCUGGAGAGGAUCUGGACAAGUCUCCUUUAUCCUUCAGGUUCUGGGCUGAUUCGUAGGACCGAGAGGUGGGAGAGAGGUCACAGAGGGCUCCUGCUAUCUACAAAUAUGCUGCUCAUAAGUAAGUUUUGGAGGAGAUGGCUGGAUCCAUUCUUACAGAGAUGGUUUCUCUUGUUAAGAAAUGUCUGAAGAAGCAUAGUGCUUGGCGGUUUUCCUUAAUGCUGUAGAGAAGUGCCUUGGUGAGCCCCUUACCUCAUGUGCACGUUUCCAGGUUCGUUUGAAAUGUGGAGAAGAGUGAAGACGAAGCACAGUGGCUCAGAAAGCAAUGAACACAAUGCUUCUCAUUUUAAGAGUCUCAUAAUUAAACCAUUAAAGAUUGCUGGGGCUAGCAAUACCAUGUCUACGGGGAGCUAAUUACUUGUACAACUGGUAAAAUACCAUGACAACAACAAAGGACAUCUUACAGACAAGGAAUGCUGACAAGAUCCUGCCCUGAAGCGUGCAGCUGGAAGGCCCAGCCUGUACCCUCCCAAGUCAGUGGAAUGUCUCCUGUGAACAACUGCAACUUGGGACCUGCAUUUCUGCUGUCAAGGUGAUUAGUAAAGAUGCAGUAAACACUAACAAGAUAUACAGAUCAGGGAGGUGUGAGCUGGUGCGGAUAUACUGCAGCCGUACAUCUGUAAGGCUGGCUGCUGCCUCACCAGCAGAGCACUGGGCCAGGGGCUUGCUGAUUCACUCUUUCCUGUUUUUCAUUUUGCUCCUUCAUGGAGAUCAUGGUGUUGUCUCCAAGUCUCUCCAAGGGCAUUUGCUUUGGUGUUCUU
rnacentral:lncRNA from 1 species